rnacentral:tRNA from 4 species
GCCGGGAUAGCUCAGUGGUAGAGCAACGGUUUCGUAAACCGUAGGCCGCGAGUUCGACCCUCGCUCCCGGCU